CCUAGGACUUUUAUUUUUCAGUCUCGUUUGCUUGUAUUUUUAUCAACUACACUAGUACUUUUGCUCUCUGUUCGACGAGCCUGACUCGAAAGGGGAAAUAGAUCUGAGACCUCGAAAGCUCCCGUUCACUGCACCAUUAAAAGCCGAAGAGUCUCGAUUUGAGACUCGACGUUGCUGUUAAACUCGGAAGCUACAUCUACUCUUCAUUCGUUCCCCUCGCUCUCUCUUGAAAUAUUUCCGAAUAGAGACUAAAUGGGAGAUGAGGAGACAUGGCUUAUAUCCUGUCGUGGCUCUCUUUCAUUUUAUUUUUAUGAAUAUUAUGUUGGUUUUGAUGCUGUCUGUUUCUUGUUUUAAUUCAUCUUAAUGAUAUUUAUGUGA